rnacentral:lncRNA from 1 species
GAGAGCAUUCCAAGAAAGCCCUACAGAAGCUCCAAGGCUUCACCUAAGCUAGCCUCUAUAGUCACUCUACCACACUUCUAUUGCACUGUCUCUGUUGUGGGCUAAGGUCAGGGCCAGCCCAGAUUCAAUGGAAGGGGACUACAAAGAGCAUGCAUGAAUACAGGAUUCUUGAUUCAUCAGUGAGGAGGGGGAAGAUCUUUUGGAGGCAACACAUCAGACUCUUGCUCAUCUUUUUCUGCCCCUUCAGAUAUGUCAAAGAGAAGAGGAAGUGUGUCAUGUGAAGACUAAAGAAACUUUUAGAUCUGCUCCAUCUGGGUUCACAGCCUGACUCCAUCAAUGACCAGCCACGUUAUAUAUAUAUUUUUCCCUGAUACUAUCUCUCUAAGGGAAUUGACAAUACCUGCUGAUAUUGUAGGGUUAUUGUGAGAAUUAAAAAUAAAAUGGGAACAGCUUUUGCUGUAAAGUAGACCGUGGGCAAAUGGUGGUUAUUGUUCACAUUAUUUUCAAAAUCUAAGAAAUAAAAACUUAUUUAACAUGAGAAA